UCGCCUGUUUAUCAAAAACAUAUCUGCAAGUGUCAUUUGCAGUGAGCCCUGCCCAGUGCAGGUAAACGGCCGCAGUAUUUUAACUGUGCUAAGGUAGCAAAAUCAAUUGGCUUUUAAUUGGAGUCGGGUAUGAAUGGGUGUUUGUGCUAAUACUUUAUUACUCUGACGAUUUUGAAUUUAAUAAGAUGGUGAAAAUGCCAUCAAACCAUAAAAAAGACGAUAAGACCCUGGGAGUUUUACUAUGAUGUUUUGUUGGGGCAACAGGGCCCACGAAAACGAGCCCGUUUGAGUGAGAAUAACCAUUUAAAGAUACUAAUAAACUACCCCAGGGAUAACAGCACAAUAUUACGAAAAUGUUUGUGACCUCGAUGUUGGAUUAGGGAGCCUCAUGGUUAGCCACCCUGAUGCCUUGCUCUGUUCGAGCAGUGUCACCCUACGUGAUCUGAUUCAGACCGGA
rnacentral:rRNA from 1 species